CAGGAGCUGUGCAGCCCCGAGUCCGCUCUUCCUGGGAAACCAGAAGCAUACCCCGAAUUCUACUUGGGCCAGGCAGGAGAGAGUUGGAUCUUGGUCGUUGAGGGCUGAGGCUGGGAAAUUCAGCAGGAUUUCCCUGGAGACAAGAAAGUUGGGAAGGCAGCAGACAGACCUCUCAGCCUGGAGUCCUCUCACCUAGAACCAACAAAGCUUGAUCUCCAGAAGCCAGGAAACAAACAGGCAGCAGGUAGAGAUGGCUCAGAGGGUCAGAGCUUGCCACCAAGCGCAUCUGCAGGACCCAAGCGCUGAAAGGAUACAGGACCCAAGCGCUGAAAGGAUAGAGCUGGCUCCAGCAAGCUCUUCCCUGACCUCCAGAGUGUGGUCUGUUGUAUCCCACGGUGCCUAGGAAGAUAAAGGGAAAGAUGUAACAUGGCCAAAGGAUAGAAGCACCCCAAGCAAGGGUCAGCUGCUGAAUGGGUGGGCACCAGAAUGUGCCAGUGCUGGUUCACACUACAGCAUACUGAACGUUUUUCUUUAUGGUAUUGGGGCUCAAACCCAGGACUUCAUGCAAGUGAUCUUCCACUAAGCUGUACCCGUAUCCCAGAAAUGUUAAGGGAGAAAAGUCAGUCUUGAAAGACCACGUGGUACGGAUUGUUUGCUUGGCAGCCAUGGCAGAGGAUCCAUCUGGACAUAAAGAACUGGUCACCUAAAUAAAUCUGGGUGUGGCAUAAGUCGCAUUCAACUGGGAAAACAAAAAAAAGAACUGGCCACCUAGGGUUGGAGGAGGUUUGAGAGAGUGGGGAGUUGGUCCACUCAGGGUUUCUGUGGUAAACACUGUGACCAAAAGCUACUUAGGAGGAAAGGGAUUAUUUCAGCUUACACUUCCAGGUUACAGUUGAUUACUGAAGGAUGUCAAGCAGGAAUUCAAGCAGAACCAAGAGGCAGGAGCUGAUGCAGAAGCCGUGGAGGAAUGCUGCUUACUGACUUUCUCCCUGUGGUUUGCUCAGCCUGCUUGCUUUUGCCACCCAGGAUCACAUGCCUAGGGGUAGCAUCAUGCCCAGGGGACUGGUCCUUCGAACAUCAAUCACUAAUCAAGAAAAUACCCUCAGAGACUGUUUCACAGGCCAGUCUUAGGGGUCUUCUAGAUUGAAGUUUCUCUUCCCAGAUGGCUCUGGCUUCUGUCAAGUAGGACAAAAACAAAACAAAACACAACUAACCAGGAUAAGAGAGAUGGAUAAACACAGGAUUUUCCUUGUGGGUGAUAAAAUGUUCUAAAAUGGCUCUUAUGAUGGUACACUCAGCUGCGAAUAUACUACACACCACUGGGUUGUACAUGCUACCACAUCUCAAUGAAGUAGUUUUUCUGACACGAGCUGCCACAUUGCCUCUACAAGGAUGGCCAUAGUUUAAAGACAGAGAAUCACAAGUGUUGACAAGAACAUGAGACAAUUGCAGCCACUUUGGAAAGCUAUCUGGUUCCCUCCCUGAGGCCAAGCACCUUGACUCUGCUCCUAGGAAUUCCCUCAGAGAACUGAACCCAUGUCCAAAUUCAAGGGGUGGACAUGAAUGUCCCCAGUGGCAGAGGGAGGGAAGACUCAGGUGCCAUCAGCAGAUGGACAGGGAAACAGAUGCUGUGUUCACACAGGGAGGUUUGAACCUAGGAAAGGGAAGAUUGGUCCAGGCCAUGGUCCAGAUGAGCUUAGAAAGCAUUCUGCUGUAGGAUGGAAGCCAGAGUCGGAAGAACCAGGAUAUCAUGAUGCGGUCCAGAGGCAGAAAGACAGACGGCAGGUUGGUAGUGGCUAGAAGCAUGAAGGAGGGCCUGAAGCACAGCUGUGUAAUGUACACCGGCUUUCCAUGAAGGUGAGCUCUGCACAAACAGUGGGGAAGGCUGGGUGACAUGGUGACUGGGCUUAAUACCCCCGAGGAGCACGGAGUAAAAUAAUUACCAUAGUAAAUUUACUUAAAUCUCUCUUUUUGAGACAGGUUUUCCUGUAGCCUAGGCUAGCCUCGAACUCACCACCCAGCCUCAGAUGACCUUGAAUUUCUGAUCCUUAUGCCAUUAGCUCCCAAAUACAGGGAUUACAGGUACCGCAUCACACUCUAUAUGGCACUGGGGACAGAACCUGGGCUUUCUGUGUACUAAGCAAGCACUCUA